UCCCUGCAAACUACAAAUUUGCAAAUACAGAAACACAUCAAAAGACUAUAUAACCACUUUCUACUCAAUAUUCACAUAUUCUGAAUCAUAUCAG